AAGUCGAGCAGUAACAGAAAUCAGCUGGUAAUUUGCUGACGAGCGGCGGACGGGUGAGUAAUGCCUGGGAAUAUGCAUUAGUGUGGGGGAUAACUAUUGGAAACGAUAGCUAAUACCGCAUAAUGUCUUCGGACCAAAGAGGGGGACUUCGGGCCUCUCGCGUAAGAUUAGCCCAGGUGAGAUUAGCUAGUUGGUGAGGUAAGAGCUCACCAAGGCGACGAUCUCUAGCUGGUCUGAGAGGAUGAUCAGCCACACUGGAAAUGAGACACGGUCCAGACUCUACGGGAGGCAGCAGUGGGGAAUAUUGCACAAUGGGCGAAACGCCUGAUGCUGCCAUGCCCGCGUGUAUGAAGAAGGCCUUCGGGUUGUAAAGUACUUUCAGUAGGGAGGAAGGCGUUGUCGUUAAUAGCGGCUUCGUUUGACGUUACCUACAGAAGAAGCACCGGCUAACUCCGUGCCAGCAGCCGCGGUACUACGGAGGGUGCGAGCGUUAAUCGGAAUUACUGGGCGUAAAGCGCAUGCAGGUGGUUCAUUAAGUCAGAUGUGAAAGCCCGGGGCUCAACCUCGGAACCGCAUUUGAAACUGGUGAACUAGAGUGCUGUAGAGGGGGGUAGAAUUUCAGGUGUAGCGGUGAAAUGCGUAGAGAUCCGAAGGAAUACCAGUGGCGAAGGCGGCCCCCUGGACAGACACUGACACUCAGAUGCGAAAGCGUGGGGAGCAAACAGGAUUAGAUACCCUGGUAGUCCACGCCGUAAACGAGGUUUCCUUGGAGGUUGUGGCCUUGAGCGGUGGCUUUUGUCGUUAACCCGUU
rnacentral:rRNA from 1 species